rnacentral:rRNA from 1 species
CCUUAUCCCAACUCGCCCCCAGUCUCUCUCAAAACGUCACUGCCAUUCCUCACUCUUCCUCCGCCUCUCCAUCUCUAUCUCUGUCUCGAUCCCCUUUCACUCUCCCAUGUGGCGGCCACCAGCGUGAUCCGGCGGUGCGGCCUGAGGCGUAGAGGCGAUGCGGCGGCGUCGUUUGCGGUGGAAGGCGGCCGUUGGUGGCGAUUGGAAGCGAGACCAGUGGCGGCGGCGACGGAUCCCGACGGAUCUCUCCGGAUCCGAUUGCGAGUGAUGGAGGCCGUGGUCUCCUGUGCGCGGCGUGCUGAUGCAUAGACGGGUGCGGGGCUGGCGGUAGGCAGCGAUGUGGCGCGGUCUCAUGCGGCGGCAGAGUUGCAGCUGCAGCCGGCACGGCUGCUCGCCGUGCUGUGGACACGGCUUGCCGGGCAGAGGGCGUCCUUCUAAGCGGUGAACCACGGCGUGACCCUUGAGAUGCUACGGCUGGUGCGCUGGUCAUGUCGUGGCUUCUGCAGGCAGCCAGCCGAGGUGAGGAGCGGGACGCCAACUCGCCAGCGACGUACAAGGGGCUACAACAGCUGCCUUGGCACCCGCAAGAGCGGGCUCCUCGACUGGGGCGUCUGCUACUUCCUGAAGCUCCUCCCGUCGUCGAUCAAAAGGCCACGGCAAGUGGUCGUCCCUUCCCGUUCACCAUUCGGGAUUUUAUGUGAAACAAGUUAGCGAGCAGCUUCCCGAAAGAGAUGGAAACCAAUGGAACCUAUGAUAUGCACAUAAAUCAAUGGAACCUAUCCAAACAUGUUGCCUUCUCAGUUGGCUGGAGCUUCAUGUGGGUUAUUUUAUUUGGACUCCUAUUUGCCGGGGUCAGAUCUUAUGCAGUGUACAAAUACAGUCUACAGGUUAUAAAACGUGCAGAAAACUGAUCACAUGCUCACCAAUACCCCAGCGAGGCAUCACUACCUGGGUUCCUAGUUCAUUGAAGAGACAAACAUCAAAGUCUGGAAGAUAUUUUAGAAACGAUGAAGUCGACGUCCAGCAAGAAGCUCAAGGAGUUUUAAUGGGCCACAUUAAAAUCUGUGAGCUCGCAGGAACAGGGCAGUAACCUUUUCAUCCCCUUGCAUACUGUUUGAGGAAAGAGUUCUUAGUAAACAGUUGAGAACUUCUGUAUAUCUCCAUAUGGCAUUGUAGAACUUAAAAGGUGAUUUACAAAGAAGUGAUUUACACCCUCUCUCUGCUAUCUAUAAAAAUUGUGACAAUGGAAGCUUGCAUUUCUCCAUAUCAAGAACGGGAGUAUAGAUUCUAAUCGCAGAGAUUUCUCUCUUUUACAGCGAGGUCAUGUUCCAUCUGAGCCUUGCUACAUACUGCGAUUCUAAUAGCAUCUUCUUCCUUAAAUCUAACAGCUCGAUUCCUCGCUCGUACAUAAGAAGGCAAUGUGCGCAUCGUUGGAGCUAUAAUGAACAGUUGGGGCUACUAUAUGAGAACAUAUGAGAAAAGUUGCGGCGCUCACCAACAAAGCCGCGGCGGCACCGGUGCCUCCUGCUCCGAUGGCAAACUUUAAAAGAAAUAGGCCUCGCCCACCCGCUCCAAUGGCAAACUGGUAGGAUCCCAAAUCGAGACCUGGAAGCAUGGAGAAACACAGCCUCGCCCGUCCCGCUCAGAAACGUCUUGAAAAUUGGUUUGUUGUUGUAUAUGGAAGGCGUGAGAUGGACAGAGUAUGAUUGGUCGCUUUAUUUUUGGGCAUUGAAGGUGUAAGAUGGAAAGAACGAAAGGAUUGAUUGGCGUUGUAUAUCUGUUUGUGAUGUACGAGCGAUUUGAUUCCUGUUGUGUAUGGAAAGUAUUAUUUGGAAAGGAUAAUAUUGUUUGGAAAGGAUGCCAUCGG